rnacentral:rRNA from 1 species
UGGAUGAUGUGAUUAAUUCGAUGCAACGCGAAGAACCUUACCUACCCUUGACAUGGCAGGAAUCCUGAAGAGAUUUGGGAGUGCUCGAAAGAGAACCUGCACACAGGUGCUGCAUGGCUGUCGUCAGCUCGUGUCGUGAGAUGUUGGGUUAAGUCCCGCAACGAGCGCAACCCUUGUCAUUAGUUGCCAUCAUUUGGUUGGGCACUCUAAUGAGACUGCCGGUGACAAACCGGAGGAAGGUGGGGAUGACGUCAAGUCCUCAUGGCCCUUAUGGGUAGGGCUUCACACGUCAUACAAUGGUCGGUACAGAGGGUUGCCAACCCGCGAGGGGGAGCUAAUCCCACAAAGCCGAUCGUAGUCCGGAUCGCAGUCUGCAACUCGACUGCGUGAAGUCGGAAUCGCUAGUAAUCGUGGAUCAGCAUGUCACGGUGAAUACGUUCCCGGGUCUU